rnacentral:rRNA from 1 species
GAUGAACGCUGGCGGCGUGCCUAAUACAUGCAAGUCGAGCGAACGGACGAGAAGCUUGCUUCUCUGAUGUUAGCGGCGGACGGGUGAGUAACACGUGGAUAACCUACCUAUAAGACUGGGAUAACUUCGGGAAACCGGAGCUAAUACCGGAUAAUAUUUUGAACCGCAUGGUUCAAAAGUGAAAGACGGUCUUGCUGUCACUUAUAGAUGGAUCCGCGCUGCAUUAGCUAGUUGGUAAGGUAACGGCUUACCAAGGCAACGAUGCAUAGCCGACCUGAGAGGGUGAUCGGCCACACUGGAACUGAGACACGGUCCAGACUACUACGGGAGGCAGCAGUAGGGAAUCUUCCGCAAUGGGCGAAAGCCUGACGGAGCAACGCCGCGUGAGUGAUGAAGGUCUUCGGAUCGUAAAACUCUGUUAUUAGGGAAGAACAUAUGUGUAAGUAACUGUGCACAGCUUGACGGUACCUAAUCAGAAAGCCACGGCUAACUACGUG